AAGGCAAAUUAGAUGGCAGCCAAGUGUGGCAGUUUCAGGUCCUCCAUUUCCAUUUCGAAAAGGAAGAAAAGCUGAUGAUUCAAGGAGACCUCACUUUUGAGGUUGCCAGAGGGGAGGUUCCUGUUUUCUGUGGCAGUAUAAGAUCCCACAGGGAACAGGACCCACCUGUGAGACUGCAGCGACUGGGCGGCACCGUGAACCAGCUAAUAAUGGCUCAUCAAGGUUUUUUUUAGUUUUUUUGGCAGGGGAGAAAAUCUUGUUUGUGUUUCUUCCCUUCCAUCCUGUGGGAACAGGGUGGGCCUCUGGGUGUGAAGGGUGGUACAGUAGAUGGUUGGCAGGAGGAAUCGGGUAGUGUGGCUGAUUGAGGGAGGAAGUAAUAAAAAGCCUGUAAUUAAUGCCUGCUUCAUUUGUUUCUGCUGAAAGUCACUGGAAAAACAGGCUUUUUUUUUUCUAAUUUGAGGCUGUCCGCCAAUUAAUUAGCAGUAAAAGGACAGUGGCUCCUCUCAUUCUGCAGAUGCUGCUUUCUCCACAUGGCAGAAUGCAGCAUUAAAAAAAGUAGACCAAUAUUCUCUUCAGUGACACUCUUUUUUUCCUUUUUUUUUUUUGUUCCUUUUGCUGACCACCUCUGUUGCUGCUGGCUACUUUUGUGUCCCAGUGAAUCAGCUGAAGGAAUGUCACUGACUUCAGUGCCACUUUUGACUGCCUCAGUGAAGACUGGGACCUGCUUUGCUUAAAUAGUUUACCUUGUAGUCAGAGACAGUUGUUGUUGUUUUUUUUGCCUCUGUCUCAAAGUGUAUUGAUGGUUUAUAACCAGAUCAUACUUAUUAUUUUCCAUGUGAUGAUUGUGAGAUGAUUCCUGUUUGUCAUUCACUGGUUAUAAAAACUGCAAAUGCCACACUAUUGUGUUAUACAAUGAGGCACUCAAUUUGGUAUUAGUCACUCAGGACCAUUUGCAUGUGAAAUGUGCUCUUUUCAUACGUUUUCUCUCCCAGCCUUUCAAAUGCUUCCAAAUCUUUGCAAACUGGUUUCAUGUCACCAUAUAAGAAGCAUAAUAGUGAUUGCAUGGUCAAAAUAUUAUAUAUGUGCCUAAUUGUGAUGGUAAUCGAACAUGUCUGAAUAAGAGUGGGGUUUUUUGGCGGAACAAUGGCAGACUAUCCUUUGGG
ensembl:lncRNA